GCGGGUGUAGCUCAAUGGUAGAGCGGCGGCUUCCCAAGCCGUUGACGUGGGUUCGAUUCCCAUCACCCGCUCCA
rnacentral:tRNA from 2 species